rnacentral:tRNA from 1 species
GGGCCGGUAGUUCAGUUUGGCAUGAAUAAAUCCAUAGAUAUACCGGGAUUAGUGCAGACGCCGCCUUCGCAAGGCGGAAGCCGCGGGUUCAAAUCCCGCUCGGUCCACCA